rnacentral:rRNA from 1 species
GACAGAGGUGCCGAGCGUUAGGCGGAAUCACUGGGCUUAAAGCGUGUGUAGGCGGAUGCCUAAGUACCUUGUGAAAUCCCACGGCUUUAACCGUGGAACUGCUUGGUAUACUGGGUGUCUUGAGCCACUUAGGGGCGACCGGAACAAACGGUGGAGCGGUGAAAUGCGUAGAUAUCGUUUGGAACGCCAAUGGUGAAAACAGGUCGCUGGGAGUGCGCUGACGCUGAGACACGAAAGCCAGGGGAGCGAACGGG